UCGACAUGAGAUUUUUCAACGUGGUCGCUGCGCUCUGCUGCCUUUCUUCGGGGACUGUCACAGCAUGCGAAAAAAGCAGUGCUGCGACAAGCAUCCGUUGCAGCCCGGAGCUGGCCUACCAUUGCUACCAUGACGUGUCCAUGAAGGUCGUCGUCGACCACUGGAUUCCGGCUUCAAAGGACGACCCGAAGUUUAUGCCCAUUUGCACUAGCUGCAAGGAGUUGCCGCUUGAAUCGAAGUGCAAGUAUUUCUACUCGGGCUGCUUCGAAAGUGAGAAGCGCCAGUUUCGCUGGCACGAGCAGGGUUAUAGUUAUCUUCAAUUCUUCAGCAC